rnacentral:lncRNA from 1 species
UUUCAACUCCUCUCCUCGAUUAUUUGAAUACGAGUUCUCUUACUUGGUUAGUCAAAUAAUCGUCAUUUCUAUCUACCUAAGCACAAACAAAUCGAAUCAUUUUAUAAUAAGAAACCAGAAAAGGGAGAUGACUUUGAGUUUUCAAUUUUUCUCCUCGAUUAUUUGAAUACAAGUUCUCUUACUUGGUUAGUCAAAUAAUUG